rnacentral:rRNA from 1 species
GACGAACGCUGGCGGCGUGCCUAAUACAUGCAAGUAGAACGCUGAAGGAGGAGCUUGCUUCUCUGGAUGAGUUGCGAACGGGUGAGUAACGCGUAGGUAACCUGCCUGGUAGCGGGGGAUAACUAUUGGAAACGAUAGCUAAUACCGCAUAAGAGUAGAUGUUGCAUGACAUUUGCUUAAAAGGUGCAAUUGCAUCACUACCAGAUGGACCUGCGUUGUAUUAGCUAGUUGGUGGGGUAACGGCUCACCAAGGCGACGAUACAUAGCCGACCUGAGAGGGUGAUCGGCCACACUGGGACUGAGACACGGCCCAGACUCCUACGGGAGGCAGCAGUAGGGAAUCUUCGGCAAUGGACGGAAGUCUGACCGAGCAACGCCGCGUAAGUGAAGAAGGGUUUCGGAUCGUAAAGCUCUGUUGUAAGAGAAGAACGAGUGUGAGAGUGGAAAGUUCACACUGUGACGGUAUCUUACCAGAAAGGGACGGCUAACUACGUG